rnacentral:rRNA from 1 species
GACGAACGCUGGCGGCGUGCCUAAUACAUGCAAGUAGAACGCACAGUUUAUACCGUAGCUUGCUACACCAUAAACUGUGAGUUGCGAACGGGUGAGUAACGCGUAGGUAACCUGCCUGGUAGCGGGGGAUAACUAUUGGAAACGAUAGCUAAUACCGCAUAAUAUUGAUUAUUGCAUGAUAAUUGAUUGAAAGAUGCUAUUUCAUCACUACCAGAUGGAUCUGCGUUGUAUUAGCUAGUAGGGGAGGUAACGGCUCACCUACGCGACGAUACAUAGCCGACCUUGGAGGGUGGUCGGCCACACUGGGACUGAGACACGGCCCAGGCUCCUACGGGAGGCAGCAGUAGGGGAACUUCGGCAAUGGACGAAAGUCUGGCCGAGCAAAGCCGCGUGGGUGAAGAAGGUUUUCGGAUCGUAAAGCUCUGUUGUAAGAGAAGAACGGGUGUGAGAGUGGAAAGUUCACACUGUGACGGUAUCUUACCAGAAAGGGACGGCUAACUACGUG